rnacentral:rRNA from 1 species
ACAAGUACCGUGAGGGAAAGUUGAAAAGCACUUUGAAAAGAGAGUGCAAGAGAACGUGAAACCGUUAUAGUGGAAGCGGAUGGAGCCGACGUAUCCCGUGCGUAUUCAGCGGUCUCCCGUCGCAUUGCGCUCGUUUCGGGUUCUGCAAAGUCCUGGACGGGUGUUGGUGUGUCGGGUGGACUGUGCACUUGCGUACAGAGUGCGCCGAAUCGACCGAGCACGCCGUUGGAAGGCCGAAAAGAGGACCAGCUCUUGAGUUGGAAACCUGGUCGGUCGGAUGGCGGAUGGGCUUGGUUGCAAAGAGAGAGGUUGGUGAAUUCGUGGCUGGUGGCUGGCAAUCGGGUGGCUUGAGCGCGAUGCAUGCAUUUCGUUCUUGUGAUCAGGUUGUGGGCCGCCGGCUGCUCAAUCUCGCAUUCGGUGUCUAGUCGGUCACCCAUUUGACCCGUCUUGAAACACGGACCAAGGAGUUUAAGGUGUGCGCAAGUCAUUGAGCAGAGUGAGGCUUAAAGGCGAAAUGAAAGUGGGCCACCCAGUGGCUGUGAUGCGAUUUGGGGGCGAUUCGUCUCCCCGAAAGCAGCAUCGACCCAUGACUGGAACUUGUUCUGUUGUGGAGUCCGAGCGUACGCUUUGAGACCCGAAAGAUGGUGAACUAUGCCCGAACAGGACGAAGUCAGAGGAAACUCUGAUGGAAGUCCGAAGCGGUUCUGACGUGCAAAUCGAUCGUCUGAUUUGGGUAUAGGGGCGCAAGACUAAUCGAACCAUCUAGUAGCUGGUUCCUUCCGA